rnacentral:rRNA from 1 species
UACGUAGGGUGCAAGCGUUGUCCGGAAUUAUUGGGCGUAAAGAGCUCGUAGGCGGUCUGUCGCGUCUGCUGUGAAAAUCCAGGGCUUAACCCUGGACCUGCAGUGGGUACGGGCAGACUAGAGUGCGGUAGGGGACACUGGAAUUCCUGGUGUAGCGGUGAAAUGCGCAGAUAUCAGGAGGAACACCGGUGGCGAAGGCGGGUCUCUGGGCCGAUACUGACGCUGAGGAGCGAAAGCGUGGGGAGCGAACAGG